rnacentral:rRNA from 1 species
GGAUGCGAUCAUACCAGCACUAAAGCAUCGGAUCCCAUCAGAACUCCGAAGUUAAGCGUGCUUGGGCGAGAGUAGUACUAGGAUGGGUGACCUCCUGUCCUCGUGUUGCAUUCC